CACAAAAUGGUGAAUGGUUUUCAUAUAGCAGGAAGUUAAAACACAUAUUAAACAUAAUAUAAUAAAAAGAUAGUACUACUACCUCACACACACACACACACACACUCAUCGACCUCUUCAGCGCUGAAGCACAUUGAGAUUAAUUGUCAUAGAUGCGCUGCGGGUCCACUUCCUGUUUGAGGGGAAUGAGAAGCCUUUCCAUGAGCGUGUGAAGGGUUUGAGCUCCCUGAGCCGUCUCACUCGUCUCUUGACAGAAACCACUCAGGACCACACGCUGCACCACACCUCUGAAGUUCAUCACCCUGACACGACCGUGACGACCAAACCAUCGCCAAUUAAAGCCUUCGAGCCCAAAAGUCUCAAUUAGUCUCAGUGGGCGGUGGAACCGGUCGGACCGGUCGGGUCCGUUGUGCGUUCGCACCUCAGAGUCGUGACGGGUCUCCGCCUAUAAAGGUCGAGCUGGAGUCCCGAGCUUCAGAACUUCAUCCCCUGCAGCGAGAACUUCAACGAGAGCGGAAAAGAAAAACCACGACUGCAGAACCAUGAUUGCAAAGAUUUGCGCCGUCCUUGUGCUGCUGGCCGUCUCUGGCAACGCACAGACAACAACGGUUGCUCCAACAACCACCGUUGCCUCGACCACGGUUGCUCCAACAACCACUGUUGCCACGACCAUGGUUGCCGCAACCACCGCUGCCGCUACCACCGC